rnacentral:sRNA from 1 species
UCAUAUUCUAAUGUUUACCCUAUUUUAUUCUAUCCUAUGCUUAAGUCUAUUGCUGUCCUAAUGUAUCUUUAUGUGACCUUUCCCAUUUUCACCUUCUUUGUUCAUUUACAUAACCUACCUAUUUUUUGAUAUUUCAAUUUCUUUUACCCCUUCCAUAUCUUAAUUUCAUUCAAUUCCUAUUCUAUCCCCAUCAUACUCUAUAGUAGCCUCAAACCUUUUUUAUUUCUAUACUAUCCUUAUCGUAUUCUUUCAUUAUCCUUCACUGAACCUAUCGGCAUCCUUCUCCGAUUUCUAUCCGAAUCACUUUUAUAUCCCCUACGCAUCCCUAUCCUAUCCUUAUCCGAUUCCUAUGCAUUACAAUUCCUAUUCCAAACCCACUGCCUGUUUAUCCAUAUUCUACGAACACCCUAUUUUUUCCAUAUCGUAAGCUUACCCUUCUUAUUCUCCUAUUUCUAUCUAUCGCGUUUUCAUCACGUUUCUUCACUCCCUCUCAUAUCCCUAUCCUUUUCUUUCCCAAAUAUCAACUUUUUUUAUCUCUAUAUCAACCAUACAUUACAUUGUCAAUAACUUAACAUCUCCUUUUUCUACACAGUUGUUACAUUUUUCCAAUAGGGUACCUCAAAAAAAGUCAUGCUUACAAAAUCAUUCGUUAAUCUAUUUUGCUCUUCCAUACAUCUUCUUAAUGGGGCCUUCUCACUUUUUAUUUUCGAGAAGAUAUGCGUCAGCAGCCAGCCUGUGUAAAAGAAUGCCAAAUCAGAGGAGGCAUUCAACACAUAACUCAAUACAGCUCAACUCUCCAUCAUCAUCAUCAUCAACAUCGCCGCGACAUCAUAACCUGUUGACGGUAGCGACACAUUCAAUGAACAACCAUUUGGAGUGGAGCACUACAACAAUGGAUGGAUGGAGAGCAAAAGUUGUUGUCACCUUAUCCCACCCCGCCCCAGCCUUUGCCAUUCAUAUUCAAGUGUUCGCUAAAUCGUAAUCAGAAUUAAAAGUAAAAAUAGAAUAUUAUGAAAAGACCCACUCACUA